GAUGAACGCUAUYCGGCAGGCUUAAUACAUGCAAGUCGUGGGGCAGCACAGGUAGCAAUACUGGGUGGCGACCGGCAAACGGGUGCGGAACACGUACGCAACCUUCCUUUAAGCGGGGGAUAGCCCAGGGAAACUUGGAUUAAUACCCCAUAAGACAAUGGUGUGGCAUCACACAGUUGUUAAAGCUCCGGCACUUAAAGAUGGGCGUGCGGCUGAUUAGGUAGUUGGCGGGGUAACGGCCCACCAAGCCGACGAUCAGUAACUGGUGUGAGAGCACGACCAGUCACACGGGCACUGAGACACGGGCCCGACUCCUACGGGAGGCAGCAGUAAGGAAUAUUGGUCAAUGGACGCAAGUCUGAACCAGCCAUGCCGCGUGGAGGAUGAAGGCCCUCUGGGUUGUAAACUUCUUUUAUUGGGGAAGAAACCUGUUUUUUCUAAAGCAGUUGACGGUACCCGAUGAAUAAGCACCGGCUAACUCCGUGCCAGCAGCCGCGGUAAUACGGAGGGUGCAAGCGUUAUCCGGAUUCACUGGGUUUAAAGGGUGCGUAGGUGGGCAGGUAAGUCAGUGGUGAAAUCUCUGGGCUUAACCCAGAAACUGCCGUUGAUACUAUCUGUCUUGAAUGUAGUGGAGGUGAGCGGAAUAUGUCAUGUAGCGGUGAAAUGCUUAGAUAUGACAUAGAACAUCUAUUGCGAAGGCAGCUCGCUACACUAUUAUUGACACUGAGGCACGAAAGCGUGGGGAUCAACAGGAUUAGAUACCCUG
rnacentral:rRNA from 1 species